rnacentral:rRNA from 1 species
AUUGAACGCUGGCGGCAUGCCUUACACAUGCAAGUCGAACGGCAGCACGGGAGCAAUCCUGGUGGCGAGUGGCGAACGGGUGAGUAAUGUAUCGGAACGUACCUUUCAGUGGGGGAUAACGUAGCGAAAGUUACGCUAAUACCGCAUAUUCUGUGAGCAGGAAAGCAGGGGAUCGCAAGACCUUGCGCUGAUUGAGCGGCCGAUAUCAGAUUAGCUAGUUGGUGAGGUAAAGGCUCACCAAGGCGACGAUCUGUAGCGGGUCUGAGAGGAUGAUCCGCCACACUGGAACUGAGACACGGUCCAGACUCCUACGGGAGGCAGCAGUGGGGAAUUUUGGACAAUGGGCGCAAGCCUGAUCCAGCCAUGCCGCGUGAGGGAAGAAGGUCCUCUGGAUUGUAAACCUCUUUUGGCAGGAAACAAACCUGCGCUAUACGCGCAGCUGAGGGUACCUGCAGAAUAAGCACCGGCU